rnacentral:rRNA from 1 species
GACGAACGCUGGCGGCGUGCCUAAUACAUGCAAGUCGAGCGAAGCGGCGGAUGGGUGAGUAACGCGUGGGUAACCUGCCCUUAAGUCUGGGAUAACAUUUGGAAACAGAUGCUAAUACCGGAUACUAAAGGAUGGACCUGCGAGGCAUUAGCUCGUGGGUAAGGUAACGGCUUACCAAGGAGAUGAUGCGUAGCUGGGUUGAGAGGAUGAUCAGCCACAUUGGGACUGAGACACGGUCCAGACUCCUACGGGAGGCAGCAGUGGGGAAUAUUGGACAAUGGGCGAAAGCCUGAUGCAGCCAUGCCGCGUGUAUGAAGAAGGCCUUCGGGUUGUAAAGUACUUUCAGCGAGGAGGCGUUACUCGCAGAAGAAGCACCGGCUAACUCCGUGCCAGCAGCCGCGGUAAUAC